rnacentral:rRNA from 1 species
UACGGAGGGAGCUAGCGUUAUUCGGAAUUACUGGGCGUAAAGCGCACGUAGGCGGAUCGAUCAGUCAGGGGUGAAAUCCCAGGGCUCAACCCUGGAACUGCCUUUGAUACUGUCGAUCUGGAGUAUGGAAGAGGUGAGUGGAAUUCCGAGUGUAGAGGUGAAAUUCGUAGAUAUUCGGAGGAACACCAGUGGCGAAGGCGGCUCACUGGUCCAUUACUGACGCUGAGGUGCGAAAGCGUGGGGAGCAAACAGG